UAGUGUCAACAGAACCUGCGUGGAGUGUGAGGGCUAGUGAAUGUAUGUUUUUGAGGCAGCACUUAAAGUUAAUCUUUAAGAUGUUAAAGCCAGAAGCUGCUUCAGUUAGUCAGCAUACAUUCUCUAAGAGGAUUAAUAUGCCGGCAAGAGGUAUGAGACUGCACAGAAAAUAGAACAGCUAAUCCUGGAGAUGAACCUGAUAAAGAGAACCCACAGUCAGUACUUACAGCACUGAGGAGCCCUGUCCAGGUGGAGGGCGAGCAUCCAGGGGAAAGCGAGAACACAGUCCCCCACUACUACGAAUUAUGUAGUCGAGUUUCCCACAUUUGGGGAAAUCUCAGGGGUCAGCACAUCCGGAGUGCAAUGGAUAAGCCUUGCCCUGGGAAAACCAACUUCCUGAUCAUGGUAUCUCCCCUGCCAGAACUAUGCGUCAGUAACUCAGUCAUGGCACAGCAAGGACAGCCAGCUUGCCUGUUCUCUACCAUGCCUAUCAAUCAAAGCCAUCCAUCCCCGUGUCCCAGGGAUAUAGUAGUUGGCUUAGGAAUGGGCCUGGGAAUCAACUCAGGCCAAACAAAAGUGAGGGGGAGGAAGUUUAUUGGGGGUGUCUAGAAAAGGGGUGAGCUGUGAAUGAGAAAUUGUGGAACCUCAGGUGCACUGGCAGCCUCCCUGGCUCUAAGUAGAGUCCACUGAGGAGGAAGCUGACCCUGUGGGCCUCAACAUAGCGGAGCAGAGGAAACAUGGGCAUCCGAGGUCAUCACAGACCAUCCCACCGUGGACUUCACAUUCUGAGAGUCAGUAAACACCCUUACUGUUGCGUUUUUGUUUUGUUUUGUUUUUGAGACAGGGUCUUGCUAUUUUGCUCAGGCUGCUCUUGAACUCCUAAGAUCAAGCUAUCUUCCCACCUCAGGCCCCCAAGUAACUGAGACUACCAACACAUGCCCUGACACCUGACUCCUGGAUUGUUUUUUUUACUUGCAGCUUAAAGCAUCGUGACUAAUAUGAUUGAUUGGUCACUAUGACAACAUGUGGUAACCACCCUAUGAAUAGGAGCAGUAUCAUGGAGUGGCCUUUCUGCACAGAAGCAUCUGUUCCUUUUGCCAUCACAGCACCGGGUAUACCAAUAUUCAUGAAUAAGGCAGGGCUGCUUGAUUAUUUAACCUACUCUUUUCUAGGGAGGAAGUGUCCCCAGCGAGGAAAGGUAUAUCAGGAAGCCACAAACUCUGAGUGGGGGCUGGAAAAAGGUGCCAAUCCUCCACUAUGGACCAUUCACCCUGCCCCUUAGUUCCCACCAGAAACUCUGGCUUAAAACAGCAUGGGUGAUCCACUUGCCAUCCCAUUCUGCUCUAUUUGUGGUGUUUUCUUAAAAAAAUCUCUACUUCCACACAGUAAUCUUGCUUUCCAGAGCAUUUUAGGGAACAGAGUCAUCCUCAUUCACUCCUAGCAUCUUAAUCAGUUGCCUAAGGUCUUAGGCAGAAUUCUCCAACACUUAAUGCCAUCACAGCCCUAAAGGAGACACUCCUUAGAGACCCCCCACAACCUCAGAGUCAGAGUUGCCACUGAAUUCUCAAGUUAGGGUUUUUCGGGAAUAUGUCAUGAAGCAUAAUUAUUCUUCCAGAAAGGCUAUUGAGAAAUUCUAUCCUAGUAAAGAGGAC